UUGCCCAUCGGGGCUGCGGAUACCUGGUUUUAUUAUU
rfam:Otolemur garnettii contig188648, whole genome shotgun sequence.